rnacentral:rRNA from 1 species
CCUACGGGGGGCAGCAGUGAGGAAUAUUGGUCAAUGGGCGCAAGCCUGAACCAGCCAAGUCGCGUGAGGGAUGACGGUCCUAUGGAUUGUAAACCUCGUUUGUCGGGGAGCAAGGCCCGCCACGUGUGGCGGGAAGGAGAGGACCCGAAGAAAAAGCAGCGGCGAACGCCGUGCCAGCAGCCGCGGUAAGACGGAGGAUGCGAGCGUGAGCCGGAUUGAUUGGGUUGAAAGGGUGCGGAGGCGGAAGGUUAAGGCAGCGGUCACAUGUCGGUGCUCCACACCGGCCUGCCGUUGUAACUGGUCUUCUUGAGUGAGCGAGACGUAUGCGGCAUGCGUGGUGUAGCGG